rnacentral:lncRNA from 1 species
GGUCAAAAUAAAAAAGUUGAGAGCAAAAAAAUUGAUGGCUUCGGCUUUGGUCAAAUGUUGGGCCGACGACGGCCGGUGCUUAGUCUCACCGCCCGCGUCCCCACACCUCCUCCAGCGCCGACGCCACUGGUGGAAGGAAUGCGCAUUGACACCUUCCAUGGUCCCCCGUGACACAUUUAAUGGUCGCCAAACGAAUCCAUUAACCGCAGCCGUGCAUCCGAUGGUCCUUUCGUUUAAAUCAUCCAGGAAACAUAAGAUGAUCUCGAACUUAGUUGGUCCUUUCGGUUUCGAAUG